GCUCGAGUGGCGAACGGGUGAGUAACACGUGAGUAACCUGCCCUUGACUUUGGGAUAACUUCAGGAAACUGGGGCUAAUACCGGAUGGAGCUCCUGCUGCAUGGUGGGGGUUGGAAAGUUUCGGCGGUUGGGGAUGGACUCGCGGCUUAUCAGCUUGUUGGUGGGGUAGUGGCUUACCAAGGCUUUGACGGGUAGCCGGCCUGAGAGGGUGACCGGCCACAUUGGGACUGAGAUACGGCCCAG
rnacentral:rRNA from 1 species